AGUGGUGGGGGUUUCCGUGGACUGCCUAUGAGAGGGGCACGGUAACCUAAUUAUAUAUUUACCUCCGGGGGGAGAUGUUGGAUGAAGUAUCUCUUGAGGUAAGAUUUGAAUGCACCUCACGAUCACUGCAGUGGUGGGGGUUUCCGUGGACUGCCUAUGAGAGGAGCACGGUAACUCAAUUAUAUAUUUACCUCCGAGGGGAGAUGUUGGGUGAAGUAUCUCCUGAGGUAUGAUUUGAGUGCACCUCACGUUCGGGCCACCACGUGAGAGUGAGACUCAGCCAACGUCAAGGAACGGCUGUGUGUUAGAUGUGAAAACAUGUUUAUGGGUAUGGGUCAUUGAACAGCCUUGGCGGUCUCAGUGGGAUACCUUGACGAAGGUACCCGCGAGAAUGAUUCUGACAGGGGCCAAGUUUAAGAAAUUCAUAAGCCGGGAAAUUUUGAUGAAAAGAAAUUGUUUGGUAUAGAUUGAAACG
rnacentral:lncRNA from 1 species